GGUCUGCAACUCGACCACACGAAGCUGGAAUCGCUAGUAAUCGCGAAUCAGCAUGUCGCGGUGAAUACGUUCCCGGGUCUUGUACACACCGCCCGUCACACCAUGGGAGUCAGCAACGCCCGAAGUCAGUGACCUAACCGAGAGGAAGGAGCUGCCGAAGGCGGGGCAGGUAACUGGGGUGAAGUCGUAACAAGGUAGC
rnacentral:rRNA from 1 species